UGCGAUGAAAGCAGCUGCCCUUAAAUCCAAAGCCCUUCUCAUGCGUGCACAGGCAGCGGAAAUUCUCUGUACACAAUGGAAGAAAAGAUGCAGAGGUCACUUUUUGCUGAUUUUUUUCUUUGAUCGACUACUGUAGUAUUCAGGCCAAUUCUUUAUGCAAGCAAAUGUAACUCUGUGCAGCUCUGUGUAUCAUUUUGACAAAUAUACGGUGUUGAAAGCCCUACAGAACACACACCUGCUGUCAUGGGAACAAUGUCGGCCCGAAGAAGGAAUCGUAGUCUCCCCGCUGCCUUGUUUCCAAUCUUGAUGUCCAUGUAGACCUGAGGAUUAACUCUACCCUUUUUAGCCGGGGGCUCAGCCUGACAAGAAACAAAUCAGACAAAUGUAACUAUCUUGACAAAGAGUCAGAGUCACCAACUUAUUUUAAGAGAGAAAGUCGCCUCACUUCAUCUGUUGCCGUGUUGGUUGUUUCUCCAGCUGCUGCCUCCCCAUCAGCUUCCUCUGCGGUCUUCCCCGAGAACUUCUUCAGCCAGUCAUCAUCCGACCACACUGGCAGAAAAGCAGAUUUAAAUUAGGAACAAAAUAUUUAAUGCACUUGAACCUAAGAACUCUAUACACUUGUUUGUUUUUUUUAAAUCACCUGGUCGAGAAGAUCCUUCUUUGAUUCUCAUGGGCUUGGCAGUGUUCACUCGGAUGGUCCUUCCGAAAAGCUCAGACUCAUUCUAGCAGAAAGAGCAAGAUCAUCAACAUUGAAACAGAAAGCUAGUUCGUUUUACCUUUUGGGUACACUCACAACGGCUAUGUCUCAGAAACAGAACUGAAUCCUCACUGACAUGAUUGUGCAACACAGUGAUGCACUUACCAUGUUAUCAAUAGCUGCUGCAGCAUCCUACAGAAGAAAAGGCCAUCAAUGUUUCAUGAGCAUAGAUGUACCAUUGAAAUCCUUAUUAUGUGUUAACAUCCAUGUUUACACUGAAUUCAACAGUCAGGCAAACAUACACAAUGUCCUAAAUCAGACAGAAGUGCAAAUCAUAAUAAUAUAUUUAGUCCAUUCAUAUUUAUAUGCAUUACCGAAGCCAUAUUAAAAACUGGGAGCGGCAUUUUUCAAGGAUGUCCAUAACAGUACAUUACAAUCCUAAGCAUAGAUUACUAUGUGUUGCAAACUUUUUUUUAAACUCAGAUAAUGUUAAGGUUUGUACAUGCUCAACUAUUUCACAAUAUCUCAACUUCACACUGAUUUUGGCUAAUCUGAAUACAUAUAGGCCUAUGUAUUGUCUUGAUCAUGCACAUAUCAGAAUAUUAUUACUUUUAGUGUAUAGAGAAGUAACAGUACAUACCUCUCCCAGUUCAAACUCAAUGAACGCGAAUCCUCUGUGCUUUUCUGAAAACAGAUCAUCGGACACAUUAUUACACUUUAUCUUGCUCACAGUGAUAAUGUGUUGCAGGUACAGAGCAGUUACUAGUCUUACCUGUUUCAUAGUCUAAUGGUAUCUGGAUGUCUGUAAUGUCUCCAAACGGAAUAAAAGCAGCAUGUAACACCUUCUCAUCCACCUCCUCUGCUAGGCCACCUGACAGAAACACACCAAAAUGAUACUGAGAUGAUGAUACUGCAGAUUAGCAUCUUAUUGGAAGAGCAUAUGGGACAGAUUACCGUGCUGCGUCCAAGAAACAUAUGUCUAUAGGAGUCCCGAGUUGCCGAAGCUAAAGCUUUUAUUUAUAUUUUAUUUAAUUCAUUCAAAAUUCUUCAACAACUUUCUCAUGGCGUCUGUACGAAGUAAAAAUCAGCGAAGUUGCCAUGUUUUCUGGUGACGUUUUCAACUUUUACCGACUAAAACCUUCCGUUACGGAGGUUUUCUAGCACUAUAUACAUUUAGUUGUGUUUAUUUCAAAUUUGCAUACAGAAAUGCUCUUAAUAUGUUUGCUAGAUUAAGUAAAAGGAGGUAGUUUAAACAGUUUUUAAGAAAAUAAACAUUAACUUACCAACAUACAACACUCGUUUGUUAGCCGCCAUAUUGGAUGUAACCCCUCAACUUUGACCCCGCAGCUUGUGAUUGGUUCAGUGAGACUAAAGCCCGCCUCCCAAUGACCACGUUUUCUGAGGCGCCAUCUGUUGGAGGAAACGGGCACGACUACAUAUUCACUUUUUUAUACCAGGUUACAUUAUAUUAAAAGUUUUAUAUUCAGCAGACUAUCACCACAAUCCUUCUAUAUCUGGGAAGGUCCAAACUAUAGAAGAAAACUAAAUGCUGUAUAUUUGGAUAUAAAGAAGGGAAGUGAGAUGGGUAAGAUCUACAUUUUUUCAACUGUUGGGUAACGAGCUUGUGAAAAAUAGAUAUUUUUUAUUUAGUUUGACUAAGAUAUAAAAAGGUAUUAAACUUUUAAGCAAAAAUAUGUUUUAUAACUCACCCAUUGUCAGUACUUGAUGCACAUGCUUCUGUCGUCAGGAUCAUUCUUUCGAAGAAUGAGAAGUGUCAUUUAAUAAAUGCAUGUUUCAUAAAUCCUAUGCAAGCUAAUGGACGGUGACUUAAAAAUGACAUGAUGAAAGUGACAGAAGUGGUAGGUAUCUAAGUACAUUUACUCAGGUACUGUACUUAACUGUACUUACACUUUUGAGAUAUUUGUACUUUACUUGAGUAUUUCCAUGUUAUGCUACUUUUUACUUCUACUCCACUACAAUCAGCCCCGGCCCUGACCAUUGUGCUGAUAGGCAUGUUUUUAGCUUGGUACUGUAAGUAUAUUUUGAUGCCAAUACUUUUGUACUUUUACAUGAUUAACAUUUUGAAUCCAGGACUAUUCCUACACUCUGGUACUUCUACCUUUACUCAAGUACAACAUCUUCUCACACCUCUGCUCAAAGGGACAUUUAGCAACCAGGAAAAAGGUCAAAAUGAGAAAAUACAUCGCCUCUAAGAGCCAUGGCCCCCAGCAUUCCCUGCACGAUGAACUGCCGGAUUGGUUCGUGUUCUAAAAACAACAGCUUCAAAUUCAGAUCAAAGAGAUUUCAUUUAUUGUUAAUGUAACUUACCUUGUCUCUUCAUUAUUUUUUCUUUAGUAAAAAAGUGUUGAAAAAGAAAAGUGUCUUCAACAACUGGCUUGUAGAGGAAGAAAUGUUGACUGAGACUGUCACUAAUGACUUUAACUACCUCCUCUUUCCUGCAAAACCAAACCCAAAGUCUGAUGCUAAAACAGCAGAGGUCAAAGAGACCCUGCAGUCCAUGCAGAAGGACAGACUGUCAGUUGGACACUGGGUUUGAGUGUACCAUCAGAACCACCAGAAGAAACAUGAGAAGCACCGACUGGAAGCAGAGGCUCAACACGCAGCUUACAUCGCCUCCAGGAGCCAUGGCCCCCAGCAUUCCCUGCUGAAUGAACUGUUAAACUGGUCCGUCUGCUAAAAUCAGCAGCUUCAAAUCAAGAUCUUACAGAUUUCAUUUUAUUGUUAUUGUUUUUAACCUUGUUUCUUUGUUUUCUUUAUUGUUUUUUCUCAAAGUGUUCAUUUUAAAACCUCAAAUUGUUCUGUCUACUCUCUUACAUUAAUGUUUGUUAAGAUGUGUGGAAAUAUACUGAGGUGCGGUGGUGGUAAGUAAAUAAAUUUACUCAAGUGCUGUUCUUAAGUAACAUUUUGAGGGGUAUUUAUGCUAAUUACUGUACUACUCAAUUCAGAGGUAAAUAUUGUACUUUUACUCUACAACAUUUAUGUAGUACCUUUAGUUACUUUGCAGAUAUAGCUAAAUUAUAAACGAUCAACACUUAAAAUAACACAAGAUACACCUGGAUUGAGUUCACAUUCUAUCCAGCAGUAAAUAAAGUAAUUACAAUUAGUUCUAGUUUUACCAGCUCUGAUAAACACAGCAAUACAUCAACAAUUAUAACCAAAACAAUAUAUUUCUGAAAUGGGGAAAUCUGCAUAAUGAGUACUUUUGGUACUUUAAGUUAAUUUAAAUGCCAAUAACUUUGCACUUUAACUUGAAUAACAUUUUAACUGCAGGACUUUUCUUGAAAUACAGUAUUCCUACACUCUGGUACUUCUACGUUUACUGAAGUAAAAUAUCUGAGUACUUCUUCCACCUCUGAUGGUAACACCUUUUUACUUGCAUUGAAUGAGUAAUUAUUUUUGCUGAAACGUUAUGGCAGAGAAGUCAUGACAAUGAUCUUGAAUGUUGGUUCUAUGCAAAAAUAGUGUUCAUUUCUCUAAUUAGUUUCAGGCAAAACCUUUCCCUGACAUUUUCAAGGGUCCAAUGUAGCUUAAAUCAAUCAUCUAUCCGAAUGAACACCCAGACAAAACAUAUGAUACCAAUACCAUAUGAUAGCAUUAUAUUGUUCGCUCUACUCCUCCAAUGCUUUUACUAUUCUGUUGUGUAUAAUUUGGCCUUCGCUGUGUACUACUGACAGGUAAGCUUGUGGCAGAUACACACUUGAAACUGAAUAAAUAAAGCUUCAUGUAGACAUUAAAGUCACACAACAGUAGAAAUCUUGAUAAUUCAUCCUUUUAUUGAGAAUACCACGCACCCAUGAUAACAUGAUAGGAUGGGGGAGUUCAUCAGUUCAAAUCAAACAUAAAACUUUCAAGCAAAGAAAAAGAACAAGGCUCGUUUCCCUUUUUUAGAAAAAAAGGUUUCUUUCCUUCGCCACAAGGUGAAGAACCUUCAUUCAAGAUUUGUUUGCAUAUCUGCUUUUGGUUUUAAAGUUUUGCAGAACUAGAAAACUAUGAACUGUUAUAUUUUUCAAAAUGUUCAAGUAUUUUUUGUAAUUAAAUUUUACUAUUUUUUCCUUCA